rnacentral:rRNA from 1 species
UACAGAGGGGGCAAGCGUUAUUCGGAAUUAUUGGGCGUAAAGGGCGCGUAGGCGGCCUGGCAAGUGGAAGGUGAAAUCCCUCGGCUUAACCGAGGAACUGCCUUCCAAACUGCUUGGCUUGAGUCCGGGAGAGGUGAGUGGAAUUCCCAGUGUAGCGGUGAAAUGCGUAGAUAUCAAGAGGAACACCUGAGGUGAAGACGGGUUGCUGGGCCGACACUGACGCUGAUAGCGCGAAAGCCAGGGGAGCAAACGGG